AGCAGCCGCGGUAAUUCCAGCUCCAAUAGCGUAUAUUAAAGUUGUUGUGGUUAAAAAGCUCGUAGUUGGAUCUCAACAGCCUUGAAGCGGUUAACUUUGUAGUUUUACUGCUUUAUAGGCUGUGCUUUUGCUGGAGGUUUAGGGGUGCUCUUGAUCGAGUGUCUCUGGAUGCCCAGCAGGUUUACUUUGAAAAAAUUAGAGUGCUCAAAGCAGGCUAAAAUGCCUGAAUAUUCGUGCAUGGAAUAAUAGAAUAGGAUGUCGAUCCUAUUUUGUUGGUUUUCGGGACUCGACAUAAUGAUAAAUAGGGACAGUCGGGGGCAUUUGUAUUCAAACGACAGAGGUGAAAUUCUUGGACCGUUUGAAGACAAACUACUGCGAAAGCAUUUGCCAAGAAUGUUUUCAUUAAUCAAGAACGAAAGUUAGAGGUUCGAAGGCGAUUAGAUACCGCCCUAGUUCUAACCAUAAACGAUGCCAGCUAGCGAUCUGCCUGCGUUUUUACUGUAGACUGGGCAGGAAGCUUCCGGGAAACCAAAGCAUUUGGGUUCCAGGGGAAGUAUGGUUGCAAAGCUGAAACUUAAAGGAAUUGACGGAAGGGCACCACCAGGAGUGGAGCCUGUGGCUUAAUUUGACUCAACACGGGAAAUCUCACCAGGCCCGGACACUGGAAGGAUUGACAGAUUGAUAGCUCUUUCUUGAUUCGGUGGGUGGUGGUGCAUGGCCGUUCUUAGUUGGUGGAGUGAUUUGUCUGGUUAAUUCCGAUAACGAACGAGACUCUGUCCUGCUAAAUAGUUUCUACUUCUCUUUUGAGUAGAAAUUUCUUCUUAGAGGGACUGGUGACUCUUAGUCACACGAGAUUGAGCAAUAACAGGUCUGUGAUGCCCA
rnacentral:rRNA from 1 species